rnacentral:lncRNA from 1 species
CAGGGUUUCCCUCUGUCACCCAGGCUGGAGUGCAGCAGCACUAUUGUGGCUCACUGCAGCGUCAACCUUCUGGGCUCCAGCGAUCCUCUUGCCUCAGCCUCCUUGAAUUGCCUAAAAUUGUAAAAUGCUUCGUAUUGUUUACAUAUAGCAUCAAUGACAGUGUUGAACUUAAGCUGAUGCUUUAUAACUCAUUUCCUGGCCUCUGAGUUGGCAGUAGAAGUGGAAACCAUUGUCCAAGGCCUUUGGAGUGUGUCAGUGCUGACCCUGCAGCUACAGAAAUGACCAAAUCAAACCUGUUGUACUGAGGGUAAAGCUCAAAUGGACCCUGUGACUACUCCUCCUCCUUCCCCAAUAAACCUUUGUUCCUGACCAGAAAAAUCCGUGCUGCACUCAUAGGAGGGAAUAUCUUGUUAUACACAGAAGAAUAUCUUGUUAUACCCCAAAUCAUGUGCAAUGACUGUACCAAAGUCUACUAUGGAUAGCAGAUAGUUGGAUAUCCAUAGGAUAUCCAUAGUAGACUUUGAAUGGUACAGUCAUUGCACAUAAUUUGGGGUAAUUCAUCUGAGUGGCCGUAAUUAUCAUGGAUAAGUGAUGUAUGGUAUAAGAAGAUAUUUGUUUGUCUCAUAUGCAUAUCUUUUUUCCUUCGAGGUUUUUAGGAAUAUGAGUGUAAAAUUAGUGCUCUGAAGUCAGCAAUGAGUCAUUACCUCUUUGCCUUCAUCCAUUUUUGUGUUGCUAGAAAGGAAUACCUGAGGCUGGGUCAUUUAUAAAGAAAAGAGAGGCCAGGUGCGGCGGCUCAUGGCUGUAAUCUUAGCACUUUGGGAGGCCGAGGCAGGUGGAUCACAAGGUCAGGAGUUCAAGACCAGCCUGGCCAACAUGCUGAAACCCCGUCUCUACUAAAAAUACAAAAAUUACCUGAGCGUGGUGGUGUGCACCUGUAGUCCCAGCUACUCGGGAGGGUGAGGCAGGAGAAUUACUCGAACCUGGGAGAUGGAGGUUGCAGUGAACCGAGAUGGUGCCACUGCACUCCAGCCUGGGUGACAGAAAGAGACUCCAUCUCAAAAAAAAAAAAAAAAAAAAAAGAGGUUUAUUUGUUUCACAGUUCUGCAGGCUGUAUAAGAAGCAUGGCACCAGCAUCCGCUCCUAAUGAGGGCCUCAGGCUGCUUCCACUUUUGGCUGAAGGUGAAGGAGAGCCAUGUGCAGAGAUCUCGUGGUGAGGGGGAGGACAUUAAUCUAGUCAUGAGAGAUCCACCCCUGAGACUCAAACACGGGCCAUAAGGUGGAACCUCCAACAUUGGGAAUCCAGUUUCAACAUAAGAUCUGAAGGGGACAAAUAUCCAAAAUAUAGCACUCUUCAUUCUCCCCAGCACAUCCCCCUGCUCCCUUCCCUUAAUCAGCACUACUUGAACUGAAGUGGAUUUUGAGCCUUUAACAUUGUAUUUAAAAAAGAUAUUUGUGUUCUCUGUUCUAAAUUUUAAGAUCAACUGAGCAUGACAUUUCAGGUAUCUUUCUCUUACAAAAACAAAACGAAACAUGAGAAAAUGAAAUUAAGUUUCUUUUAUAUUCCCAUGUGGUUGUGAUUUUCUUUUAAAGCAGGUCAAUUGCCUUUAAUAGAAAACUUU